GCCGAGAUUCUCGCAUGCUUCGGGGAUUCGCAGUAUCGUAGUUGCAUUUGUUGUGGGCAUUGUUAAUGUUUUCAAACACCUAAAGGCUGACUAGAUUAACGAAACCCUUGAAGGUUUCUUGAGGGCCGCUGUGGUGCUGAGUUUAGCUCUAACUUGCUUCAACACACCUGCCCUGGGGUUUCUAGUAUAUCUAGUAAGAACUUGAUUAGCUGCUUCAGGUGUGUUUGAUUAGGGUGACCCGAGUUUGGACACCCCUGCAUUAGAGGGAGAGUAAAUAGAUGGCCUGAUGCCUGUAGUCAGUUGGAUGAUUAUAUACACUAGAUGCCUUGAUUCUGCAUGAAUGGGGGAUUAACCACUAGAAGGUCCAUUCAAAGGAUUCUAGAAAUUGUACCAAUUCCAGUCUGGAUCCAGCCUACCUGGUGAACACCACAGAAGACAUCAAAGCUAAUGAGUUUAGAUAACUAGAACUGGACAAACAGAGUUGGCAAAAAUCAAAGCAAACACCACUACAUUACUAUAUUAUUAUUAAAACAAUAAAAAUAUAAAAGAGAUAGAUGGACUUGGUGAGAUUUACCUGUUUUGUGAUGAUUUUGUUUAGCUGUAGAUUUAAAUAUCCAUUGAGGAAAAAUAUUUGCACCAUUAAGAACUGAUCAUAUUGAUCUCUGUUGCUAUCUUAUGGCGGAACAAUGUAACGCCAAACUGCCAAAGAAUUUCCAUUAAAUA
rnacentral:lncRNA from 1 species